rnacentral:rRNA from 1 species
UACGAAGGGAGCUAGCGUUGUUCGGAAUCACUGGGCGUAAAGCGCACGUAGGCGGAUGUGUCAGUCAGGGGUGAAAUCCCGGAGCUCAACUUCGGAACUGCCUUUGAUACAGCACGUCUUGAGUCCGAUAGAGGUGGGUGGAAUUCCUAGUGUAGAGGUGAAAUUCGUAGAUAUUAGGAAGAACACCAGUGGCGAAGGCGGCUCACUGGCCCGUAACUGACGCUGAGGUGCGAAAGCGUGGGGAGCAAACAGG